ACUAACUUGAUGAGUGUUUAAAAAUCUCAUUUAAUACAGAGAAGAUUAGCAUGGCCCCUGAGCAAGGAUGACAUGCAAAUUCGUAAAGCAUUCCAUAUUUUA
ensembl:snRNA U6 U6 spliceosomal RNA